AGCAAAUCUGUUGACCUCAUGUGGCUCCUCAUGAGGCGAUGAUAGUAACUACUUCACGGAGUUGUCCUGAGCAUGGAAUAAGUGUGGCGUUUAGCACGGAGCCUGGCAUACAGUAAGGACUAACAGUUAUUCAUGUUUUCUUUCAGGAAGCUUGCAGCAGGGGUUGUAUGAGGGGUUGUCAGGGAGCCCCAGGAAGGGUGGUUUUGAUUUCCAGAAGAGAGAUACCGAGGCCUCUGGAGGCUGAGAUGGGGGACUUCUACAGCUCAGGGACAAGAUCCCAAGAGUCAAAGAACUCAGGUGUUGGACUCACAUGGAACUUGGUUCAAGCCCUGAUUCUACUACUUAUAAGCUUUGUGACCCUGGGUAAGCUAUUACCCUCUCUGAGCCUCUGUUUUCUCAUUGUAAAAUGAGAUAAAGAAUGAAUGGAAGACCUUUAGCAAGGGUGCCCCUGAGCACAUAAAGAGGAUCCAAAGUACCAAACCUGUCAAAUAGCCGUCAAAGCUAUCAAAAAAGGCAAUCAGCCUGGUGGUCAAGACCAUUCACUUUGCAGGUAUUUACUGAGCACCUGCUAUAGGUCAAGCUGUAUGCUGGGUACCUCUAUCAUUUGGCCCCUCCCUGUUCCUCAGUCUCUGCAGACCCUGGUCCCCACUCCACCAACAUCUGUAUCUUCAUCACUCCACUCACUAUUCCUGUCUUACAAAGAUCGUAAGAUUCCUUGUCUAAUUUCCCUUUCCCUUCUUUAUCUUUACUUCCUUGCUUGCCACUGGAUCCCUGGAAUCCUCCUCUUGACCUGGGCAGGUUGCCCUACCUGACCCAGUGGAGAUCAACUGCCAUUUCCUCGCCUUUUUCUCACUGUAGGAGCAGCUGCCCCAAACUCAGUUCCACCCACAUCCGCACAUCCCAGUGAGUCCCCGUUGGACACAAGACCCACCACUUCCUUCUUCUCUGCGGAGCCACAUCCGAAUUCAGCCCUGAAGUUAUCUUCUUUAACUUUUCCCCAACAAUCUGCAGAAACAUGGGUCAGGUAACCUCCCAUUUGAAAUGUUGACAACCUCAGCUUCCUAAUAAAAUAAAAGCCUGCUUUC
rnacentral:lncRNA from 1 species